CAGAGAACUUGCCCUUCGGGGUAGAUCUCCCACCCUUUGUUUACAAUACCAUUGUUGCUUUGGCAGGCCCGUCUUCGGGCCACCGGCUCAGGCUGGUCAGUGCCUGCCAAAGGACCCAAAACUCUUUUAUAAUUUAUUGUCUGAGUACUAUAUAAUAGUUA
rnacentral:misc_RNA from 1 species